rnacentral:snoRNA from 1 species
AGAUGAUCUACUAAGGUCCCUUCCAACCCUAAUAAUCUAUGAGCCAUGGGCAGUGGGAUUUUGUGUCAUCGCACAUUAAACUUGGCCUUUCUUCACUCAGAGUGCUCUUGGAUGGGUUUGGCCGUUCGUUGGCACUUCUGACUUUUGCGGGGUCAGACACUC